rnacentral:rRNA from 1 species
GUGGGGAAUUUUGGACAAUGGGCGAAAGCCUGAUCCGGCAAUGCCGCGUGCAGGAUGAAGGCCCUCGGGUUGUAAACUGCUUUUGUACGAAACGAAAAGCCUGGGGCUAAUAUCCCCGGGUCAUGACGGUACCGUAAGAAUAAGCACCGGCUAACUACGUGCCAGCAGCCGCGGUAAUACGUAGGGUGCAAGCGUUAAUCGGAAUUACUGGGCGUAAAGCGUGCACAGGCGGUUUUGUAAGACAGUGGUGAAAUCCCCGGGCUCAACCUGGGAACUGCCAUUGUGACUGCAAGGCUAGAGUGCGGCAGAGGGGGAUGGAAUUCCGCGUGUAGCAGUGAAAUGCGUAGAUAUGCGGAGGAACACCGAUGGCGAAGGCAAUCCCCUGGGCCUGCACUGACGCUCAUGCACGAAAGCGUGGGGAGCAAACAGGAUUAGAAACCCCGGUAGUCC